rnacentral:lncRNA from 1 species
AACCCUUAGCCAUACACUCCCUACCCUAGCUCGGCAUGACUGUGUAAUGUAAAACUUGUGCAAAAAGAUAAGUUUGGGGUAUUCAUCCGUAGAAUAAAAAUGUUGUUGAAAAAUGGCAAGUGCAAGGAAAAGAAAGAUGAGAAAAAGAAAAAGUGUGUAGAAACAUCCGCUUCUAUCGGAAGAAAAAAAAAAGAGAAAAAGAAAUGAAAAAGAAAAAGAAAAGGUAUCUAUAUGGAGAAAUGAAAAAAUAAGCACUUGCCUUAAAAAUAUACUCAUGCAUUAAUAUGAAUUUGAGUGGAAAAAGAGUCAAGAUUGGACGACGCCCCAACAAAAUAAAAUUCUUGCACAAAGAAAAACAACAACAUGAAUGCCGAGAUGUAAAACCUUUUGUAAUCCAUUUUG